CCACGCAGUAAACGAUGAUAACUGGGCGUAUGCGAUAUACAGUAUGCUCCUAAGCGAAAGCGUUAAGUUAUCCACCUGGGGAGUACGCCGGCAACGGUGAAACUCAAAGGAAUUGACGGGGGCCCGCACAAGCGGAGGAACAUGUGGUUUAAUUCGAUGAUACGCGAGGAACCUUACCCGGGAUUGAAAUGUAGGAGUUAGAUGAUGAGAGUCAUUGUCCCUUCGGGGCUCCUAUGUAGGUGCUGCAUGGUUGU
rnacentral:rRNA from 1 species